GCGAGCCCAGCUCAGCCUGACUGACAGUGACCCUCCCCGCUGGGCCCCCGGCCCGGCCCACGCCCCUCCCUCGCCGCUUCCUCGCCCGGGAUCCCCCGGCCUGCCCGCCGGCUCCUGUUCACGAACCUGCUCUUUCUUUACCUUUCGCUCUUUUUACCUCGACUGCCAUUGCUUUUCCCCAACUGGGGCUCUCCUCUCCUCCCCGCCUACUUUUUGUCCCCGCUUCCCACUUUUCUCCUCCUGCCCCCCCUUCCUUGCUUCGCGGCCUCUCCCCCUGGAAAUCGCCCCCUCACCGUGAUCCAAGCGUCAACCGCUGCCAUCUCAUUGGUCCCCAGACCAUUCCAGGGUUCCAGCAUAAACCGGGAGAAGAGACUCAGGAAGGCGGGGAACGGAAGGCGAGAUGACUCGGAGAAGUUCACUCAGCAAAGCCAUUGAGGACCACACUCUUGUUCCAGGGUAUGACUGCUUGCCUGAUGCUGCCCCAGAGAAAAGCGUGAGGAAGUAAGUCUUGGUCAGUUUAGAGGCAUCUUCAUUCCCUUGCCAGUUCCAGAGGACAAGAGCAGUGCCAAGAUCCUGGGACACCCGGCACUAUCUGGGUAGUAGCAAUGGGGAUGUGUGAUCUUGUUACAACAAAAAAGGAAGGCUCUGGUUGUUUAAAGCUGGGGUUUCCUGAAUAACUAGCCUAAGACUGCCUUCAGUCUUUGUGGAGUCCACAGGCUGCGCUGUACUAGGAGGGCAUAGGCAGAGUAAUGCUUGCCCUGGACCUGUUUGGACCAGGACCAUCGUCACUGAAAUGAGGACUACCUUGAAUGCCAGCGGAAGACAUUUCACAUGUGUCUAAUUCCAUUUCCUACUGAAACCUAAAUGUCUUUCUUGGCUGUUGACAUAAACAGCCAAGAUCAUGUCCUGUGCUGUUGUAAUUUGUUUAUUGUAAUUUAUCGUGUGUAAGACUUAAGUACAUACAUGGAAAGUGGCUUCACAAUUUUAAAAAUACACAUUAUCCCCCAGUAGAAAAUAUAAAAUUGGAUGACAUCAUGUGGCACUAAAAAUACUUGAAAAUAUUGGGUUUGAUUUGUUCACAUCUGGUUAAAAUAAAACUGCCUCUUUUUUUUUUUUUUUUCCUAGUGUAAAUUUUGAGAAAAGCACAUCUUGCUUUCAUCCAGUAGAUAUGGAUGGGAUUGGUGUCACCCUUGACAUGAUCUACAGAGAACAUACUUUAUUUCCAUUCUCUUAAAUAUUUUGACACCCUGUUUUUGAAAAUCAUUUUAAUUUAUUGAAGGAUUCAUUUACUGAAGAAUUAUAAAUGGUCAUCUCCUUCCAACUGUCCUAAAUAUUCAUUAGCUCUGGUCGAGCCAGGUGUUAAUUCAGUGUAAAUGAUUCAACAAGAAGGGGCCUGAUACUGCUGUAUGUACAGAAAGUGGGUUGUCCUGGGAAAUAAAUAAAGUGUUUUUUGUUGUUGUU